ensembl:lincRNA
GGCGGCGCGUCAGCCCACACCUGCCUUUCUGACUCCCUUCUGCCACCGAUUGGUUUCUCUCCAUCAGGGUAAAGGUACCCUGCUCAUGUCUUCUCUUCCCCCUGUAGAGGCGGGGUGUUUGUUGACCAGGCUGGUCUCAAAGUCCUUGGCCUCAAGCGAUUCUCCUGCUUCAGCCUCCCAAAGUGCUGAGGUGACAGGUGUGCUAAUGUUUUCAUGUGAGCCUCACUGCGUCAUUGUAAUUUUGGGUUUUCCUCGUGUCUUUGCAGAAGCUCAGGAUUUGACUUUGUUAGGAAGGUGGGUCCCUCCUCUCAGCACCUCAAACUUGUUUCUGCCCCGGUCCCAAGAGCUGCAGAGGCUGGAGCUUGAGUCCCCACCUGAAGGUGUCUGCUUUCCCACAACAGCAAAGAAGAACCAUGGCCCAGACUGGACUCUGAAAUGGGCAUGUACAGAGAAGAGGAGACCCCACCAUGCCUCAGGCUUUGAGUGGAGAGGACACAGCCUCUGCUGGGACAGGGAACAGAGGGAUGCGGAGACACUGAAGAUGCUUGUGGACAGUGGUCUGAGGGCGGGACAGUGGCAGGAGAUACCAUUCACUCAGCAUCUCCAGGACAAGAGAUCAGCCUGGCAGUUACAUGUGUUUUUCUUCAAACUAGUUGCCAGGUUGGAAUGGCCAAUGACAUCAGAGAUUCCAACCUUCCUGACUGGAAGGACCGGACUCCGUGGGUGCCUGGGAGCUGAAGUGGACAACAGUAUCUUCUCAGAGCUGUUUGCCACUCCUGACUUCUCCCAGCCUCGAGAAUUUGUAACACACUCUUCUAGCUCCUAGCAGAGUCCAGAAAAAGGCCUUGGGCAGAACAGAGACUCUUUCCAUGGAAUGGGACAGAUUUUGGGAAAAAUCAUGACCAUCCUGCUCGCCGAGCAUAAGGAGGAGAGCCCCCAGGUGAGCACCUCAGGGUACCCCCUCUGGGAGGUGGGGGAUGAUGAAGUGUCGGGACCAUCAGGUGAGGUGACUGGAGGAAGAAGAGGUGGGAUAGGAUUGACUAAGACAAAGGAAGGGGGCCAGGCAUGGUAGCUCACACCUGUAACCCCAACACUUUGGGAGGCCGAGGCAGGCAGAUCACCUGAGGUCAGGAGUUCAAGACCAGCCUGGCCAACAUGGUGAAACCCCAUCUCUACUAAAAGUACAAAAAUUAGCUGGGCGGUAGUGAUGCGCGCCUGUAAUCCCAGCUACUCGGGAGGCUGAGACAGGAGAAUCGCUUGAGUCUGGGAGGAAGAGGUUGCAGUGAGCUGAGAUCGCUCUAUUGCACUCCAGUCUGGAGAAAUUCAGGCUGGGUUCUGUGGCUCACACCUGUAAUCCCAGCACUUUGGGAGGCCAAGGCAGGAGGAUCACUUGAGGCCAGGAGUUUGAGACCAGCCUGGCCAACAAGGUGAAACCCUGUCUCUACUGAAAGUACAAAAUUGAGCUGGGCAUUAUUGCAGGCACCUGUAAUCCCAGCUACCAGAGAGGCUGAGGCAGGAGAAUAACUGGAAUCCAGGAGACAGAUGUCGCAGUGAGCUGAGAUUGCACCACUACACUCCAGCCUGGGAGACAAAGCAAGAUUCUGUCUCAAAACAAACAAACAAACCAACAAAAAACGGAGGGACUCAGAGAGCCAGGGACCAGGGAAGGACGUGAGGAAAUGUUCUGAGGACAGAGAAACGGAAGAAUGGGGAGGGGAAGGAGCAGCACGUGGGGUUGACAGAGGACAAAGUCAGAAAGAUGGCUUGGAGAAGCCGGCAGUCUACAAGGCUGGGGAGGAUGGAGAGUGGUUUGGGGUUUGGGGUCGGGGUCUAAGGUGAUCAGUUGCAGAAGCAUUACACGGUGGUCUGGUUUCUUUACUCAGCCCCUGGGGUAGAUUCCAGACCCUCAUGUAGGUCCCUUUGCUGGAAAAGGAAGAGGGAGUGGUCGGACCAAUCUGAGGAGGAGCCAGAGAAGGAGGUCGCCCCUGAGCCCGAGGAGACCUGGGUGGUGGAGAUGCUGUGUGGCCUCAAGAUGAAGCUGAAGCGACGGCGAGUGUCGUCCGUGCUCCCUGAGCACCAGGAGGCCUUCAAUAGCCAGCUUGGUAGGAGGACACCCCAGAGAGCACCUCCAAUCCUGUUCUUCUAAAAAAGAGGAAAUUUCCAAUAACCACUCUUUUCCAAUGGGAAAAAUAUGCCCCCAGUGGGUGAGCUCUGCAUCUGGGAGAACUCAGAAGUGAUCACUCAUGAGGGACGCUUAGGAGACGAUAGAGGAUUAGGCUAGACUUGAUAAAGGUCGGUGCUUGGGAUAUGAAAGCUUGGUUUUGGGCCAGGUGCGGUGGCUCAUGCCUGAGAUCCCAGCACACUGGGAGGCUGAGGCAAGCGGAUUGCUUAAACUCAGGACUUUGAGGAUGUAAUGAGCUAUGACUGCACCACUGCACUCCAGCCUGGGUGACAGAGCAAAACCCUGUCUCAAAAGAAAAACAAAGCCCAGGUGUGGUAGCUCAUGCCUGUAAU